rnacentral:rRNA from 1 species
GAUGAACGCUGGCGGCGUGCCUAAUACAUGCAAGUCGAGCGAACAGACGAGGAGCUUGCUCCUCUGACGUUAGCGGCGGACGGGUGAGUAACACGUGGAUAACCUACCUAUAAGACUGGGAUAACUUCGGGAAACCGGAGCUAAUACCGGAUAAUAUAUUGAACCGCAUGGUUCAAUAGUGAAAGACGGUUUUGCUGUCACUUAUAGAUGGAUCCGCGCUGCAUUAGCUAGUUGGUAAGGUAACGGCUUACCAAGGCAACGAUGCAUAGCCGACCUGAGAGGGUGAUCGGCCACACGGGAACUGAGACACGGUACAGACUCCUACGGGAGGCAGCAGUAGGGAAUCUUCCGCAAUGGGCGAAAGCCUGACGGAGCAACGCCGCGUGAGUGAUGAAGGUCUUCGGAUCGUAAAACUCUGUUAUUAGGGAAGAACAUAUGUGUAAGUAACUGUGCACAUCUUGACGGUACCUAAUCAGAAAGCCACGGCUAACUACGUG